UAUUCUGCCCUACAGGGAAGGAUGAGAAGCUUCGACUAAGGUUCGACUCGAGCGAAGCGAGAGAACGUUGCCGCAGGCAACGGCCC
rnacentral:sRNA from 1 species